rnacentral:rRNA from 1 species
GUCUAAGGCCAUGCCACCCUGAACAAACCUGAUGUCUGAUAGCAGGGUCAGGCCUGGUUAGUACUUGGAUGGGAGACCACCUAGGAAGACCAGGUGCUGUAGGCG